GACGAACGCUGGCGGCGUGCUUAACACAUGCAAGUCGAACGGAGAUAUAUAAAUAGUUUACUAUGAAUAUAUUUUAGUGGCGGACGGGUGAGUAACACGUGGGCAACCUGCCUUAGAGUGGGGGAUAACAGCGAGAAAUCGUUGCUAAUACCGCAUGAAAUUAGAUUUUCGCAUGAAGGUUUAAUGAAAGGAGAAAUCCGCUAUAAGAUGGGCCCGCGCCUGAUUAGCUAGUUGGUGAGGUAACAGCUCACCAAGGCGACGAUCAGUAGCCGAUCUGAGAGGAUGACCGGCCACACUGGAACUGAGACACGGUCCAGACUCCUACGGGAGGCAGCAGUGGGGAAUAUUGCACAAUGGGGGAAACCCUGAUGCAGCAACGCCGCGUGGAGGAAGAAGGUUUUCGGAUUGUAAACUCCUGUCUUUUGGGACGAUAAUGACGGUACCAAAAGAGGAAGCCACGGCUAACUACGUG
rnacentral:rRNA from 1 species